rnacentral:rRNA from 1 species
GUCUAAACGACUCUCGGCAACGGAUAUCUCGGCUCUCGCAUCGAUGAAGAACGUAGCGAAAUGCGAUACUUGGUGUGAAUUGCAGAAUCCCGUGAACCAUCGAGUCUUUGAACGCAAGUUGCGCCCGAAGCCUUUUGGCCGAGGGCACGCCUGCCUGGGCGUC